UAAAGUCUUUCAGCUGUGUUCCUACAUGAGAAUCAGGUGGAAGUCCUUAGUCAAAUUCCACCCCAACUUAAGGGAGGUCCUUCUGCACUUUGGGCGCCUUUUUCUGCUGUGAUACCUUGGGGGAACUACUGAGCAACACACAGGGUCUGUGACAGGGCUCAGGGGUGAGGACAAGGUGUGAGACUGCCCAGGUGUGAGGAGCCACUGCAGCCAGCUCUGUUGUGCUUGUCGCAGCACAGGAGGGCUCCAGCAGCCAGGUCCCACGAAACCAUCCCUGUCCUGUCUGGGGAGAACACUGGCAUAUUGUGACCUGCUGCCCUCAGAGGAGAGGAGGGCUCACUGCUGGUGGGAGGAAAGGGAGCUGGAGACACACACCAAGAACAAUAUUAGACUUGUACAGUUGACCUAAAUAAUAUUCAGGAUUGAGCUCAAGUCUUCUCUGUGUAUCCCCAAAGCUCAGAUGGUUUAAGGACACAAAGAAAUGUCUCUGGACCAUGAGAGCUCAUUUUUCCCAGCAUGGAUUGAAUGCACAGCAUACAUCAGUGCAGAACAACUGAGAAAUGUCAGGCAACCUGAGCUGUCAAGGAGUGCACACAGAGCUGAACUGGUUAUUAGUCAAGCAUCCACAAAUGGCUGGUAAG